rnacentral:rRNA from 1 species
CGGCGAGUGAAGCGGCAACAGCUCAAAUUUGAAAUCUGGCUUCGGCCCGAGUUGUAAUUUGCAGAGGAUGUUUCUGGCGCGGUGCCUUCCGAGUUCCCUGGAACGGGACGCCACAGAGGGUGAGAGCCCCGUAUGGUUGGAUACCAAGCCUGUGUGAAACUCCUUCGACGAGUCGAGUAGUUUGGGAAUGCUGCUCAAAAUGGGAGGUAAAUCUCUUCUAAAGCUAAAUACCGGCCAGAGACCGAUAGCGCACAAGUAGAGUGAUCGAAAGAUGAAAAGCACCUUGAAAAGGGGGUUAAACAGUACGUGAAAUUGUUGAAAGGGAAGCGCUCAUGACCAGACUUGUGCCGGGCGGUUCAUCCGGGGUUCUCCCCGGUGCACUCCGCCCGGUUCAGGCCAGCAUCGGUUUUUGCUGGGGGAUAAGAACGGUAGGAACGUGGCCCUCCUUCGGGAGGGUGUUAUAGCCUGCCGUACGAUACCCUAGCGGAGACCGAGGUUCGCGCUCCGCAAGGAUGCUGGCGUAAUGGUCAUCAGCGACCCGUCUUGAAACACGGACCAAGGAGUCGUCCAUUAGAGCGAGCGUUUGGGUGUAAAACCCGCACGCGUAAUGAAAGUGAAAUUAGGUGAGAGCUUCGGCGCAUCAUCGACCGAUCCUGAUGUUCUCGGAUGGAUUUGAGUAAGAGUUUUAACGGACGGACCCGAAAGACAGUGAACUAUGCUUGUAUAGGGUGAAGCCAGAGGAAACUCUGGUGGAGGCUCGCAGCGGUUCUGACGUGCAAAUCGAUCGUCAAAUAUGAGCAUGGGGGCGAAAGACUAAUCGAACUGUCUAGUAGCUGGUUACCGCCGAAGUUUCCCUCAGGAUAGCAGUGUUGACCUUCAGUUUUAUGAGGUAAAGCGAAUGAUUAGGGACUCGGGGGCGCUUUUUAGCCUUCAUCCAUUC